rnacentral:rRNA from 1 species
GAUGAACGCUGGCGGCGUGCCUAAUACAUGCAAGUCGAGCGAACAGACGAGGAGCUUGCUCCUCUGACGUUAGCGGCGGACGGGUGAGUAACACGUGGAUAACCUACCUAUAAGACUGGGAUAACUUCGGGAAACCGGAGCUAAUACCGGAUAAUAUAUUGAACCGCAUGGUUCAAUAGUGAAAGACGGUUUUGCUGUCACUUAUAGAUGGAUCCGCGCCGCAUUAGCUAGUUGGUAAGGUAACGGCUUACCAAGGCAACGAGGCGUAGCCGACCUGAGAGGGUGAUCGGCCACACUGGAACUGAGACACGGUCCAGACUCCUACGGGAGGCAGUAGUAGGGAAUCUUCCGCAAUGGGCGAAAGCCUGACGGAGCAACGCCGCGUGAGUGAUGAAGGUCUUCGGAUCGUAAAACUCUGUUAUUAGGGAAGAACAAAUGUGUAAGUAACUAUGCACGUCUUGACGGUACCUAAUCAGAAAGCCACGGCUAACUACGUG